GACGAACGCUGGCGGCGUGCUUAACACAUGCAAGUCGAACGGUGAAGCGCCUUCCUUUUUGGUGGGUGUGGAUGAGUGGCGAACGGGUGAGUAACACGUGAGUAACCUGCCCCCUUCUUCUGGAUAACCGCAUGAAAGUGUGGCUAAUACGGGAUAUUCUGGGUCUGUCGCAUGAUGGGUCUGGGAAAGAUAUUGUUUCGGUGGGGGAUGGGCGCGCGGCCUAUCAGCUUGUUGGUGGGGUGAUGGCCUACCAAGGCGGUGACGGGUAGCCGGCCUGAGAGGGUGGACGGUCACACUGGGACUGAGACACGGCCCAGACUCCUACGGGAGGCAGCAGUGGGGAAUAUUGGACAAUGGGCGCAAGCCUGAUGCAGCGACGCCGCGUGAGGGGUGGAGGCCUUCGGGUUGUGAACCUCUUUCGCCAGUGAAGCAGGCCUGCCUCGUUUGUGGGUGGGUUGACGGUAGCUGGAUAAGAAGCGCCGGCUAACUACGUG
rnacentral:rRNA from 1 species